GCUUGAGAUUGAGGCUUAGUUGUUGUUGUAUAGAAGUAGUUUAGCAGUCUCGAACGUGUUCACUUCCUUUCUGGAGGGAAAUGAUAGUCUUGUUAGACUUUAACCUAAAAAUAUUGUUAUAAUAGUUGUAUUUUUAUGUAUUUAAUCAGCUUCUUGCUGCUGCUAUGUAUUCUAAUUGAAAGGGUCUAACAUUAUUUAAGUUUGAA
rnacentral:misc_RNA from 1 species